ACGGAAGGCAGCAGUGGGGAAUAUUGCACAAUGGGCGCAAGCCUGAUGCAGCGAUGCCGCGUGAAGGAAGAAGGUUUUCGGAUUGUAAACCUCUGUCAUCGGGGACGAUAAUGACUGUACCCGAGAAGGAAGCUCCGGCUAACUACGUGCCAGCAGCCGCGGUAGUACGUAGGGAGCGAGCGUUAUCCGGAAUUACUGGGUGUAAAGGGUGCGUAGGCGGGACGGCAAGUCAGAUGUGAAAUGUAUGGGCUCAACCCAUAACCUGCAUUUGAAACUGUUGUUCUUGAGUGAGGUAGAGGUAAGCGGAAUUCCUAGUGUAGCGGUGAAAUGCGUAGAUAUUAGGAGGAACAUCGGUGGCGAAGGCGGCUUACUGGGCCUUUACUGACGCUGAGGCACGAAAGCGUGGGGAGCAAACAGGAUUAGAUACCCUGGUA
rnacentral:rRNA from 1 species